rnacentral:rRNA from 1 species
UACGGAGGGUGCAAACGUUGCUCGGAAUCAUUGGGCGUAAAGCGCACGUAGGCGGACCGCUAAGUCGGAUGUGAAAUCCCACGGCUCAACCGUGGAAGUGCAUCCGAAACUGCGAGGCUCGAGUAUGGAAGAGGGUCGCAGAAUUCCCGGUGUAGAGGUGAAAUUCGUAGAUAUCGGGAGGAAUACCAGUGGCGAAGGCGGCGACCUGGGCCAAUACUGACGCUGAGGUGCGAAAGCGUGGGGAGCAAACAGG